GCUGGGCAUGGUGGUGUGUGCCUGUCAUCCCAGUGGCUCAGGAGGCUGAGGCAGGAGGAUUGCCCAGUGGCUCAGGAGGCUGAGGCAGGAGGAUUUCAAGAUGGAGGCCAGCCUCAGCAAUUUAGCCAGGCCCUCAGAAACUCAGUGAGACCCUGUCUCUA
rnacentral:sRNA from 1 species